GGCCAGACUCCUACGGGAGGCAGCAGUGGGGGAUAUUGCACAAUGGGGGAAACCCUGAUGCAGCGACGCCGCGUGGGCGAAGAAGUAUUUCGGUAUGUAAAGCCCUAUCAGCAGGGAAGAAGAAAUGACGGUACCUGAGUAAGAAGCACCGGCUAAAUACGUGCCAGCAGCCGCGGUAAUACGUAGGGGGCAAGCGUUAUCCGGAUUUACUGGGUGUAAAGGGGGCGCAGACGGCGAUGCAAGCCAGGAGUGAAAGCCCGGGGCCCAACCCCGGGACUGCUCUGGGAACUGCGUGGCUGGAGUGCAGGAGGGGCAGGCGGAAUGCCUGGUGUAGCGGUGAAAUGCGUAGAUAUCAGGAGGAACACCGGUGGCGAAGGCGGCCUGCUGGACUGCAACUGACGUUGAGGCCCGAAAGCGUGGGGAGCAAACAGGAUUAGAUACCCCUGUAAUA
rnacentral:rRNA from 1 species